GAAAAAUGUGAAGUAGCCCUUUUAGUGUCCUGAUAAGUGUGAUGACAGAUCUUCUGUGAAAAAAAUUUCAAUGGCUUCACCAAGAGCUCCUCAGAUUUAACAUUACAGCUGUUGCUAGUCUUAUGGACCUCUCGUUAAGCAUGCUAAAUAAGCAUUCUUGCAAAUUUAAUUCAUUCUUGAGAUAACCCUUUGACUGUGUGAAUCAUGAGAACCUACAUGUGCCUUGAGAGCGAGCUUUCAUGAAUCACAGUGUACCUCCACGGACACAAGGAGUGUCCAUGCUACAUUAGAAGUUGGAGGCAUGUGCUUUGAAGAAUUGAAUAAAAUAUUUGGCCCACUUUCCUGAAGAAAAGAAAGAAAACAAGGAAAACAAAAAACAAAAAAGAAACAUCCCACGUUUAUAAACUGGAGGGUUUUUUUAAAAAAAAAAUUGAAUCUAAUUGACUUUUCACUGUAGUUCCUUCUUCUGGGAAGAGCAGCAGCAGCAAGAACAACAACAACAGAACUUUCCACAGAUCAGUGGAGUGAAGAAGACUUUUCUCAGUACAGACACAAUAAAUUAAACACUCAUUAAGGACCA
rnacentral:lncRNA from 1 species